GACGAACGCUGGCGGCGCGCUUAACACAUGCAAGUCGAGCGAAGCGGCGGACGGGUGAGUAACACGUGAGUAACCUGCCUUAGACAUUGGGAUAGCCUCGGGAAACCGGGAUUAAUACCAAAUGGUCUAAGAUGGACUCGCGUCCCAUUAGCUAGUUGGUGGGUAACGGCCCACCAAGGCGACGAUGGGUAGCCGGCCUGGGAGGGUGAACGGCCACGUUUGAGGUGAGAAACGGUCCGAAAUCGCCGUGAGGCAGCAGAGGGGAAUAUUGCACAAUGGAGGGAACUCUGAUGCAGCGACGCCGCGUGAACGAAGAAGGCUUUCGAGUCGUAAAGUUCUUUUAUAUGGGAGGCGGUACCAAAAGAAAAAGCCCCGGCUAACUACGUGCCAGCAGCCGCGGUAAUAC
rnacentral:rRNA from 1 species